GACGAACGCUGGCGGCGUGCUUAACACAUGCAAGUCGAACGCUGAAGCUCAGCUUUUGUUGGGUGGAUGAGUGGCGAACGGGUGAGUAACACGUGAGUAACCUGCCCCCUUCUUUGGGAUAACGCCCGGAAACGGGUGCUAAUACUGAAUAUUCACUGGUCUUCGCAUGGGGGUUGGUGGAAAGGGUUUUUCUGGUGGGGGAUGGGCUCGCGGCCUAUCAGCUUGUUGGUGGGGUGAUGGCCUACCAAGGCUUUGACGGGUAGCCGGCGUGAGAGGGUGACCGGUAACAUUGGGACUGAGAUACGGCCCAGACUACUACGGGAGGCAGCAUUGGGGAAUAUUGCACAAUGGGCGCAAGCCUGAUGCAGCGACGCCGCGUGAGGGAUGGAGGCCUUCGGGUUGUGAACCUCUUUCGCUCAUGGUCAAGCCGCAACAAUGGUUGUGGUGAGGGUAGUGGGUAAAGAAGCGCCGGCUAACUACGUG
rnacentral:rRNA from 1 species